GGGCGGGAUACAGAAGAAGUGAUUAACUGCAUUUUUGCUUACACAUGUGGUUUUCUUUUUUUGGAACUUUGCUUUGGUAGACCUUCUAUAUGGGGCCUGCCAGAGAUUAAACUCAACCAAAUUUUAUUUAAUGUCAACCGAUUAUUUAAUAGUCAAAACUUUCAACAACGGAUCUCUUGGUUCUCGCAUCGAUGAAGAACGCAGCGAAAUGCGAUAAGUAAUAUGAAUUGCAGAUAUUCUGAAUCAUCGAAUCUUUGAACGCACAUUGCGCCCUUUGGUAUUCCAAAGGGCAUGCCUGUUUGAGCGUCAUUUCUCCCUCAAACCCUCGGGUUUGGUGUUGAGCGAUACGCUGGGUUUGCUUGAAAGAAAGGCGGAGUAUAAACUAAUGGAUAGGUUUUUUCCACUCAUUGGUACAAACUCCAAAACUUCUUCCAAAUUCCACCUCAAAUCAGGUAGGACUACCCGCUGAACUUAAGCAUAUCAAUAAGCGGAGGAAAAAAACCAA
rnacentral:rRNA from 1 species